rnacentral:rRNA from 1 species
UACGUAGGGUGCGAGCGUUAAUCGGAAUCACUGGGCAUAAAGCGCACGUAGGCGGCUAGGUCCGUCCGAUGUGAAAGCCCCCGGCUCAACCGGGGAAUUGCAUCGGAUACAGCCUGGCUUGAGGACGGUUGGGGAGAGUGGAAUUCCCGGUGGAGCGGUGAAAUGCGUAGAGAUCGGGAAGAACGCCGGCGGCGAAAGCGACUCUCUGGUCGGAAUCUGACGCUGAGGUGCGAAAGCUAGGGGAGCAAACGGG